rnacentral:rRNA from 1 species
UGUAAGCGUAUACCAAAGUUGUUGCAGUUAAAACGCUCGUAGUCGGAAUUUGGCAGUUCCGGAAGUGUGCACGUCGUGUGCGCACUUUGCGGGGACUGCUUUUGUGGUCUUGCGUAGGAUGAGGCACUUUCAUUAGUGAACGUCCUCACGCAACCACUCUUUACUGUGAGGAAAUCAGAGUGCUCAAAGCAGGCAUUUGCCGUGAAUGUAUUAGCAUGGAAUAAUAGAAUAGGACUCGGUUCUAUUUUGUUGGUUUGUUGGGACUGAGUAAUGAUUAAGAGGGACAGUUGGGGGCAUUUGUAUUCCGGCGCUAGAGGUGAAAUUCUUAGAUUGCCGGAAGACAAACUGCUGCGAAAGCGUCUGCCAAGGAUGUUUUCAUUGA